rnacentral:rRNA from 1 species
UCCGCAGGCGGGCUGAUAAGUUAGAGGUGAAAUCCUACAGCUCAACUGUAGAACUGCCUUUGAUACUGUCAGUCUUGAAUGUGCUCGACGUAGGCGGAAUGUGCCGUGUAGCGGUGAAAUGCUUAGAUAUGGCACAGAACACCGAUCGCGAAGGCAGCUUACGAGAGCAAUAUUGACGCUGAGGGACGAAAGCGUGGGGAGCGAACAGGAUUAGAUACCCUGGUAGUCC